rnacentral:hammerhead_ribozyme from 1 species
AUCCAGCUAAUGAGUCUCAAAUAGGACGAAACGCGCGUCCUGAAU